AUACGGAGGGUGCAAGCGUUGUUCGGAAUCACUGGGCGUAAAGGGCGCGCAGGCGGUUUGAUAAGUCAGAUGUGAAAGCCCACGGCUCAACCGUGGAAGUGCAUUUGAAACUGUCAGACUUGAGUACUAGAGGGGAAAGUGGAAUUCCCGGUGUAGAGGUGAAAUUCGUAGAUAUCGGGAGGAAUACCGGUGGCGAAGGCGACUUUCUGGCUAGAUACUGACGCUGAGGCGCGAAAGCGUGGGGAGCAAACAGGAUUAGAUACCCCAGUAGUCC
rnacentral:rRNA from 1 species